rnacentral:sRNA from 1 species
UGAGGGCUUCUUCGAGGGAACGCACGUACUGUUUUAUGCUUUGCUGUGUCAAAACACCUGACAAGGACAGCCUAAGGAAGGGAGGUUUGCUUAGCUCAUAGUUUGAGCAUCCAUGGAAGAGAAGCCAGGCAGUGGUAAUAGGAGGCAGCUGGCAAUAUCAUAUUUACAGGAAGCAGACAAAAGUGAAUGUUUGUGCUUAGUUCCUGUUCCAUUUAAUAUUCAGUCCCAGACCCCAGUCCAGGGGAAUGGGGGCGGGGAGUCAAACAUUUAGAGAUCUUACCAUCUCAGCUAACCCAAACGAGAUACUUCCUCAUAGACAUGCCCAGAGGUUUGCCGCCUGAGUCAUUCUAGAUCCUACUGAAGUGACAAUAUUAGUCAUCACAAGGUACUUCUCCUUCCUACCGAAAGGAAAAGUCCCCUACUUGAAAAGAUAUAUAGCUCAGGACCACUGUCACUGCUCUGGGGCCAGGCAACCCCAUGACAGAGUCAAAACAAGGAUGGCAUAGCCAGAGAAAAUCAAACAAAACAAAACUGGAGGCCUUGGAGAUUCUGGAUCAGACACAGCCUGAAACUCACUCAGUGUAGUUCGAAAUUCCACCAACUUCUCCUUUAAGAUGAAUGGAGUUCAAGUUUCCAUGCCUGAGAGCCAAAGGUAUCAGCAUGAAAAACUUCAGUGCUUAGAAAACAUUUUAAGUCAGACCAAUUGCAAAAAUGUCCCAGAGAAAUCUGGCCCCAAAGUGGUUUUUUCUGUUGUUGCUGCUGUUGUUUUUGUUUGUUUUCCAGUAGGGCCACCUCCCAAGUUCUGGGAUGUACAGGCAUGCACCAGCAUGGCCAGGUUCAAACCUAAACUCUAAACCACAAACGAUUGCUUUCAUAUCUUUCAAAAAAGGGAAGCUUCUUGUUUCCUCCGGCUUUUGCUAGUUGAUGUUUGGCCUCUUUCCCCUGGGACUUCUCCUGCUUUCUAUGGAUACUCCCUUAAGCACCCUUCUCCACAGAUCCACGGAGCUGCCAAAUGGUACUCUAAUGGUUUGGGCUCAUGAGAAUAAACUGUUCUAUUGGUCUUCAGAUAUGAACUAUUAGGAGAAUUCAAAACCCAGCAUCCAGUCAGGUGGCCUCAGUGUUUGCCUGCUGUACUUAGCAGCAGUCUUUCCUGGAACCCUGCUGACAUCACAGAAAAUACUGUCUAGUCACUGACUUUGCCCAGCAUGGCAGUCAAAGCAAACAGUGUGGCAAUGUCCUUGUAAUGACACCGUUUACAGCAUGCUUGCCAAGAGAGUGAGGAAGUGAUCACCCAGGGACCACAGCAUUAUCAAAGCGCCUGCUCAAAGCACCGGCUCGGUGCCAUCGGUGCCAAUUCAGAACCACUCCCUCUCCUCUCAAAGUCCACAUGGAAAAGGCCCAAACAGAUCCACCACCCUCCACCAUCCCCAAGUUGCUCUCUGCUCCCGUUACUCAGCCAAAUCCAUAGAACAUGUAUGUCUUCAGGUGGAACUGCAGAUGCGAUCUAAUAAGAGAGAAAGGGAGGGAUGAUGGGAAAGAAGAAGAAUGGAGCAGAAAUAGAGUUGGGAAGAGUCAUCAAAAUAUCCACCAAUUAAAACCACAAAAAAAAAAGUGUCUUCUCACGAAGUAAGAUGAGCAUAGGGAAGAAAUCACUUCUUGGACACUGAAGUGCAGCAUCUCGGGUUCAAGCUUGUUAUUCAAGCUCUUUUUUUUUUUUUUUAUCACCCUGACCUUUUGUCUUUCUUCCAAACCGCCUCCACUCUGUGGGCCCCUAAUGUGGCAGCCCCUUAUGUGGCCUCCGCAGCUAGUGGAAUUUGAAAGGUAUACCCCAAUAGCUGGGCUAGUGGAAUUUGAAAGGUAUACCCCAACAGCUGGGCUUUUGAUGUGGGCUGCUCGCUCGGCUUUCUUACCUGCUUUUCAAGCCAGUCUCAGCUAUGUUUUUUUUUUUUUUUUUCUUCAUCAACCGAUUUUCUGUUUGUUCUUUAGGUCUCCCAGGAGAAGGGCAAAACAUGAUAAGUCUCUGCUGCCUUCUUCCAUCACGUGACAGAAAAAUCUCAGACGGAGAGGAGGCGGGAGGAUAAGAUAGAGGCGUCAGUGGAGGAAGACCGGAGAUAAUGCUCCAAGUGCCACGCCACAGAUCGUGCCCACAGAGGAAGAAAAAAACCCUCUGGACUUCAGCUAUGGCUCUGAGGGUAAAGUCCAGAGGUCUUUUCAGGAAUUUAAUCCGCAGAUUAAUGACAUUCUUUGCAAAGUGGCUUUUGCAUGAAGUCCCACCCCUAGCUGAGGAGCUACUGGCUGCUGGGGAAGAUGUGGCCCUGCAGUGCAAUCCAGUAGAUAGUCCGCGAACAUGCGGGCAGAGUGCACGGAUUGUUGCUGCUGUUUCUAAUAAAGUCUAUGAAGUUGGGAGGAGGAAACGAUGAGGCAGAUGGAGGAGGUGGAGAGAAGUGGUAGGCCUGAUCGGAAUUCAUUUUAUGCAUAUAUAAAAUUCUCAAACGUUAAGAACUUUAUUAUUUGGACUAUGGGCAGGUCAGAACAUCUGAACAAUAGUUUUCAUGACAACCAUCAGAACGGCCCCACUUGUAUCUGCCAGGAGACCUUCUCUACUGUCCUUGUCUCACAUCUGUCCGGAGCCCCCCUCCUCUGAGGUGUCACUGGUUAUAUUUGAUGCUCAGGGCCUUCGAUUGACUCCUGGGACCAUGUGGAUGCAAAACCAGAUCCUCAUUUGGAAGCGAUGCUGUGCUGUGAAGCCCACCAUGGACCAGAAGGCUGGCAGACAGGGAGACAACCUCGUCCUUAGCACUGCAGUCUGAUCUGAAAAAGCACGGAAGGUCAUUGGGGUAAUAGAUGAAAAGACGUUGUCAAUCUGAAGUAGGCGAUUCUAAUCAUAAUCUUUUCUUUAAAUCACAAUGGUCCCAAGAGAACCAGGAAAGCCGUGAGGGCCUGUGUUUCAUGCUCUCCAGCCAUCUUUGAACUUCUGUCAGUGAACGUACUUUCAUCUAGAGAAUCCAUAGAAGACGGUUGCAGAUGGAAAAAUCUAGCCCUGGGUCAUUUCAAUCGCUCACUUUGUAGAUGAUGCAAAAACCCAAUUAUACAGAUCCUUGACCUUUUUUCCUUUAGCGUUGCUUAAAGUAUUGAAAUCUCCAUCAUGAGUUAGAUUGGAGGUGUAAAAAAAGAAAGAAAAGAAAAGUCAAGCUGCCAAUCUCAAUUUCCAUUUCUCCAUUAUCCUUGCUCGCUCACCUAAUGGAACCUCCAGAGACUUCCAGAUUUUCAAAGAAAAUUGAAGAGUCAGAAGAGCACAGGAAGGAACUGGAAAUUCUGAGGGAUAGUACCAAACCAGGAAGGAGGCUGCUGGGGUCUUCACCCUCAGAAAGUGCCCACUGUCUCCUCCCAGCAAGCCUUGAUUUAGGCUGGAAUUGCAAGGAAGUAAAGAGUUUUUGUAGUUCCCAAUGAGAACGAGGAGAUCUCAAUGCUGUAACUUCAACUCUGCCCUUGACCUUCUGGAAGAGCUGUGGGAUGUUUUACUUAGCAGUUUCCUAAGUGCUAGAUAAGUUCCUGCAAGGAACUCUGACCUUUGGGAGUUAAAGCUACACCCACAGUCAACAUGAAGCAAAGCUUACAGAACCAAAGGAACGAGAGUAGAAAAG